UACGUAGGGUGCGAGCGUUGCCCGGAUUUAUUGGGCGUAAAGGGCGCGUAGGCGGUGAGAUGCGUCUGUUGUGAAAUCGCUCGGCUCAACUGGGCGGGGUCAGCGGAUACGGUCUCACUUGAGCAAGCUAGGGGGCAAUGGAAUUCCCGGUGUAGUGGUGGAAUGCGUAGAGUAUCGGGAAGGAACACCAGUGGCGAAGGCGGUUGCCUGGGGCUU
rnacentral:rRNA from 1 species